CUUACAAUCUUCAUAUAUAAUCCAUCAUAUCUAGAAUAUCUCGUACCAGACUUUUUAUCUUGCCGGGGCAUGAACCAAGAUAAGAAUUUAUGUGUACAAGAUUUCAUUGUGGCCUCAGGUCUAAGGAUCACUUACACAACUUUCACUUAAAGAACCAUCUUUUGACAUUCAAGCAAGGCUCUAUAAGAUAUUCUCUGUCAGU
rnacentral:lncRNA from 1 species